AUUAACAGCUGUGACCUGUAGAAGUGAGUAGGUUAGACAUCAGUUGACAACACAUGCCACAAUUUCCAUGGCCAUACUACCCAUUCAGUUUUCAGAAAGUUGAAUUUCCCACACAUGCAUGUGCGCACAUUUGUUUUCAGACUUACCACACAUUAAAUCAUCCAGCUUCCUGCAUUCCCUUAAGAUUUUUAAGAAGUUCAAGAUUUACAUUUACCUUUCCAUUGGAAUCCA
rnacentral:misc_RNA from 1 species